CCUUCAGAUUUGAGGAAUACUAGUAUUAUUAUCCAAACUUUGACACUAUAGUAAAAGAUUGCUAGAAGUCAACCAAGGCAUCACCCGACCUUGCAGCAAUGCUAGUCCUUAAACUCAAGAACCUCAAAAAAUAACUUCGACUUUGGGAGAAGCACACAGCGGGAGACAUAUUUUUAAAAAAGGAGCUCAGUGAAAAAAUAGAUAACUUAGAUAAACUGGAGAAAAAUACUGAUUUAUUUAUGGAAGAACUGGUUCGUAGAGAUAAUUCAAAAUAGAAUUAGAGGAUCUGAUAAACCAAGAAGAAAUAUUUUGAAAAUAAUGCUCAAGAAAUACAUGGCUUAGGAAUGGAGACUGAAACACUCGUUUCUUUCGUAUCAUUGUGAGUAAUAGAAGAAGGAAGAAUGAAAUGAAAAAAAUUUUCGAAGGAGGG
rnacentral:lncRNA from 1 species